UACGUAGGGUGCAAGCGUUAAUCGGAAUUACUGGGCGUAAAGCGUGCGCAGGCGGUUUUGUAAGACUGUCGUGAAAUCCCCGGGCUUAACCUGGGAAUGGCGAUGGUGACUGCAAGGCUAGAGUUUGGCAGAGGGGGGUAGAAUUCCACGUGUGGCAGUGAAAUGCGUAGAUAUGUGGAGGAACACCGAUGGCGAAGGCAGCCCCCUGGGUCAAAACUGACGCUCAUGCACGAAAGCGUGGGGAGCAAACAGG
rnacentral:rRNA from 1 species